rnacentral:tRNA from 1 species
AAGGGGACCGAAGAUCUAAAAGAAGCUGCUAACUAUCUUUUAAAGCGGUUAAAUUCCGUUUAUCCCCUUA